rnacentral:rRNA from 1 species
GACGAACGCUGGCGGCAGGCCUAAUACAUGCAAGUAGGACGCCGUUGCGAACGGGAUAGUAACGCGUAGGUAACUACCUAUUAGAGGGGGAUAAAUAUUGGAAACGAUAGCUAAUACCGCAUACAAGUAGAUGGACCUGCGUUGUAUUAGAUAGUAGGUCGGGUAAUGGCCUACCUAGGCAACGAUACAUAGCCGACCUGAGAGGGUGAUCGGCCACACUGGGACUGAGAAACGGUCCAGACUCCUACGUAGGGAGCAGUAGGGAAGUUUCGGAAAUGGGGUGAACGCCGAAUCAGCAAAGCCGGGGGAGGGAAGAAGGUUUUCGGAUCGGAAAGCCCUGUUGUUAAGGAAGCGGUACCUAACCAGAAAGGGACGGCUAACUCCGUGCCAGCAGCCGCGGUAAUUC